UACGUAGGGGGCUAGCGUUGUCCGGAAUCAUUGGGCGUAAAGCGCGCGUAGGCGGCCAGAUAAGUCCGGUGUGAAAGUCACAGGCUCAACCUGUGAAUGCCGCUGGAAACUGUCUGGCUAGAGUCCGGAAGGGGCGAGUGGAAUUCCUGGUGUAGCGGUGAAAUGCGCAGAUAUCAGGAGGAACACCGAUAGCGAAGGCAGCUCGCUGGGACGGUACUGACGCUGAGGCGCGAAAGCGUGGGGAGCGAACAGG
rnacentral:rRNA from 1 species